CUUAUUGUGGAUGAUCCUUCAUCACUAUAUUAUUGCAAUGCUCCCUCUUUGGGCUUUAACACUUCGAGCACUCCAAAUGUUUCACAUGCUUGUGUUCAUAGUCCUUGCAUAUCAUGUAGAAAUUGCUUGACUAAAUCUCAUGAUGAUAUGCUUGCUAUGUCUUGUUGCCAUGAUAAAAAUGCAUCUAUUUCCUCGAAUUGUUGUGCUAACAAUGUAGAGGAAACCGAACACUCCAUGGAACAAGAUGUGGUGUUUAAUGGUGCCUCAAGGGAUCCUACAUCAUCAUCUAUUGCUUUUUGCCUUAUGGCUAAGGCGUCAAAGGUAUCUCCUACUUUGAACCCCAAUAUGUCUCUUGAUGAUGAUGUUGAUGCUAAUGAUGAUGAGGAUAAUGAUGAAGAGAAUAAUAAUGUUGCCUCCUUAAAAACUAAGGGGGAGAUGAUUUUUAAAGCUCUUCAUAAAAAUAAAAUUGCUCGUUCCAACUUCAUGGAAAUUAUGUCCAUUGCCAUUGAGGGCAAGAAAUAUAUUGAGGAGUUGGAAUCUCAUCUCGAGGAGCAUGAGGUCACCAUUGAGAAAAUGGAAGCUCAUGGGCGUGAUUACGCAAAUGAGAUUGCGGACCUCUCUCAAGCCCUUGAACUUGAACAAACCACCAAGGAAUCUCUUGAGGAGACUUUUGCUCUAGAAUUGUCUAAAGUGAAGGAAUCUACUGAUAGAGCUCUUAAGGUGGCCAAUGUUUUUGAAACUAAAAAUGCUAAGCUUGAAGUUGCUCAUGCUAGACUCCUUGAGGAUUUUGAGCACCUCGAAAAUGGCUCAAGGGUCAUCAAGGGUGAGCUCAUCAAACUCACCGAGUCUCAUGGUCAACUUGAAGCUUCUUAUUUAAAAGAGCUUGCCAAGUUGCCUUCUCCUCUUGUUGUUAAUGAUGAUGCUUGUGCUACUAAUUCUAUUACUUGUGAAGCAUCCAUUUUGAAGGAGAAUGUUGAGCUACGGGCUCAACUUGAGGUGCUAUCUUGCAAUUAU
rnacentral:rRNA from 1 species